CCUACGGGAGGCUGCAGUGGGGAAUAUUGGACAAUGGGGGCAACCCUGAUCCAGCCAUGCCGCGUGUGUGAAGAAGGCCCUCGGGUUGUAAAGCACUUUCAGUGAGGAAGAACGCCUGGUGGUUAAUACCCAUCAGGAAAGACAUCACUCACAGAAGAAGCACCGGCUAACUCCGUGCCAGCAGCCGCGGUAAUACGGAGGGUGCGAGCGUUAAUCGGAAUUACUGGGCGUAAAGCGCGCGUAGGUGGCUUGAUAAGCCGGAUGUGAAAGCCCCGGGCUCAACCUGGGAACGGCAUCCGGAACUGUCAAGCUAGAGUGCAGGAGAGGAAGGUAGAAUUCCCGGUGUAGCGGUGAAAUGCGUAGAGAUCGGGAGGAAUACCAGUGGCGAAGGCGGCCUUCUGGACUGACACUGACACUGAGGUGCGAAAGCGUGGGUAGCAAACAGGAUUAGAUACCCUUGUAGUC
rnacentral:rRNA from 1 species